AAAGGAAUCAUUCGUUCAUAAGCUGAAUGGAUUGCCGCCGCCUCUGUGCCUCCAGCAGCUCUGUUGUCCGCAUAAGGCUAUUGGCAUGUAAGGAGCCGGUGUCCCCAAAAGUGUAUCCUACAGAGAAGGUUUGUACAGGAUUACCUUUAUAUCAUAGACAUCUCAAAUCCAGUAUACGUAUGUACAACUACUGUACCUUAAGCACAACUUUCAGUUAUGGAUGGAUGUAUGUGGAGACAGAUACACCGAUGUCUGCAUAUAUCUGCCGUGGUGGCUUAUGAUGUUAGCCUCAGGAAUGCUUUGUCUCUCAGGGACUUAUAGGAAGUCCUUACUGCUUACACUGUUAAAACUGCACGUAAACUGAUAGCAAUGUAAAGACUUAUUCCUUAAGUCCUUCAGAUACAGUCAGUAAUUCAUGUGAAACUUCUUCAGGAAUGUGCUGUGUUUUGAACACAGUUGUAGAAUGUAGCUUUUCAUCUAAAGCUUCCUUCUCAAGCUGUGAUGGGCUUUUUGCAAGUCAGUUUAAAUACUGAAUCACUGUAUAUUUAAAGUUCUUCACAUUCUCUUACACAAGGUAUUUUCUCUUUGCUUGAACUAAUUCUCCCUCAGUUUAAUACUGGUUCUUCCCUGCUAGACUCUGGAAAUAAGUGACAGUGGAGAAGUAUUAGUACUUUAUUGAGGACAUCCGUAAGACAGAUUCUGUCUGUCCUGGUAAUGAUGUUACAGGCUCACGUGACAAAAUUGCAGACUUCUGUUAUUCCAUGAAAGAUAUUUCUCUGCAGAUGGAACCUUCUGCAUCUAUUUUCAAGUAUUUUAUUAUUGUAGGAUGUCAGUGAGGAGUUUCAAGAAAUGAAAUGUUACCUAAAUAGUAGCUGGAUCAAGGAAAAAGUAUUUAACCAUUCGAUACAGCUCACUUGUCAGAAACUUAGCAAAGUGCUUGAGAAACCUGACAGUGAAGUCUGUUGCUGGCUUUAUGGGUUUGUUUGCUGUCAGUGUUGGUAUGCAUAAGCAUAGUUUUACAGGUUGUGAUGCUGUCACAGGUUGCCCCACAACAGAGGCUCGCUCUGACUGUUGUUCAAAUAAGGAACUGAUGAAUCAACAGGACAAUGUCCAAAGUGGCUUGCUUUUUCAUAGCCUGACGCUGGAGGUUUAUGCUAAAAUGUUCUGAAGUAUUCAGCUGGUUUCUGACUUGUGUUCUAGGAAUUAAAAAAACAGCAAAACUGGGUAGUGCAUCAGGGCACAGCUACUUCAAGCACCGAGUAUCAAAGCUUAGGAAGUUGCUACCUGUAUGUCAGAAUUUGCAGGCUUAUCUCCCAUUCAGUGUUGUCCCUGCCUGAUGGAUAGGGACAGAGAAUGAUCAAUAUGCUGCUGUUUAAAGCAGCAAGACAAACAAUUUGAGCAAAAUAUCACUGCCUCUGUUGGAGUGUCUCCAGGAUCUUAGGAUCACGGCACACUGGACACUGUACAAGAUAGGAUGUUGCUUCAUAGCUCGGUUGUACGUAACAGGUAAAUGUGAAUGGGUGGGAGCAUCACAAGAAAUGAAUGAGUAGUGCGUUAGGGUAAUAUGUGAUGCCUGUGCUUUGAUGAAAGCCUCAUUAGUGGGUUUCUCUUGUCUGUAGUUGUAGUUCCAUAUAUAUUUAAAAAUAUUGUGGAUGGAGGGAGCUUCCACCUUGCUCCACAGCUUCUUUUAAUCCAUGUCAGCUAUUA
ensembl:lncRNA